rnacentral:rRNA from 1 species
GUCGAACGGGAUCCUUCGGGAUUUAGUGGCGGACGGGUGAGUAACGCGUGAGAAUCUGCCCUUAGGUUGGGGACAACAGUUGGAAACGACUGCUAAUACCCAAUGUGCCGAGAGGUGAAAGGUUAACUGCCUGGGGAUGAGCUCGCGUCUGAUUAGCUAGUUGGAGUGGUAACGGCACACCAAGGCGACGAUCAGUAGCUGGUCUGAGAGGAUGAUCAGCCACACUGGGACUGAGACACGGCCCAGACUCCUACGGGAGGCAGCAGUGGGGAAUUUUCCGCAAUGGGCGAAAGCCUGACGGAGCAAGACCGCGUGAGGGAGGAAGGCCUAUUGGUUGUAAACCUCUUUUGAUAGGGAAGAACACAAUGACGGUACCUAUCGAAUCAGCAUCGGCUAACUCCGUGCCAGCAGCCGCGGUAAUACGGAGGAUGCAAGCGUUAUCCGGAUUUAUCGGGCGUAAAGCGUCCGUAGGUGGUAAACCAAGUCAGUUGUUAAAGCGUAGAGCUUAACUCUAUAAGGGCAAUUGAAACUGGUUAGCUAGAGUGCGAUAGGGGCAAGGGGAAUUCCCAGUGUAGCGGUGAAAUGCGUAGAUAUUGGGAAGAACAUCGGUGGCGAAGGCGCCUUGCUGGGUCUGCACUGACACUGAGGGACGAAAGCUAGGGGGAGCGAAAGGGAUUAGAUACCCCUGUAGUCCUAGCCGUAAACGAUGGAUACUAGGCGUUGUCCGUAUCGACCCGACCGUGCCGAAGC